CCUACGGGUGGCUGCAGUCGAGAAUCAUUCACAAUGGGGGAAACCCUGAUGGUGCGACGCCGCGUGGGGGAAUGAAGGUCUUCGGAUUGUAAACCCCUGUCAUGUGGGAGCAAAUUAAAAAGAUAGUACCACAAGAGGAAGAGACGGCUAACUCUGUGCCAGCAGCCGCGGUAAUACAGAGGUCUCAAGCGUUGUUCGGAAUCACGGGGCGUAAGGCGUGCGUAGGCUGUUUCGUAAGUCUUGUGUGAAAGGCGCGGGCUCAACCCGCGGACGGCACAUGAUACUGCGAGACUAGAGUAAUGGAGGGGGAACCGGAAUUCUCGGUGUAGCAGUGAAAUGCGUAGAUAUCGAGAGGAACACUCUUGGCGAAGGCGGGUUCCUGGACAUUAACUGACGCUGAGGCACGAAGGCCAGGGGAGCGAAAGGGAUUAGAUACCCCUGUAGUC
rnacentral:rRNA from 1 species